UUAUGAACACGCCACGAGUGUCGUGCGCAGUUUGGCACUCAGCGUGAUGAAUAAAGAGUGGUAGAGCCACAGAGACACGCCUUCGUGUGCGCGUCAUCACUCAGCUCGUGUGUUUAGCCUCCAGCGGCUUGUUUUUGAAAUCCUUUAACAUCGAUCGGCCGCUGUCAAAGUCAACAAAAGUGUCUUUGAAGCGUGAAUUGUUUGGAAGCGUUUCAACAAGGAAGUGGGAGCGAGCGGAGUCAACGGAGAGACGCUGACGCACAGACCACGACUACGUUUCAUUCAUGCAUGAUUGUGUCCUGUCAAUCAAUGGAUAUGGGGGAUGAAUCCGCCACACUUUCACACACACAGGUGCUGAGCCUACGGUGGUGGAUUGGUGUCCUGGUCACGGUGUCCCCUUUGUAUUGUGUUUGCACUUGGUAGCUUCUUUGUUUUGUUUACUUUUAUUUGCUUCACGUGUGGUGUUCCUGGGAUCCCCUUUCCCUUUGGAUACAGUUUUUCACGGUAGGUCUCAGCACUGAUUGGCUCCCCUUAUGUCCCCUUAAGUGAGUAAUUUUUACAUUAUUUUUAAAACAGAAAUUUAUGUAAUUGUUGCCAGACAACGCCACCUUGGGAAUUUCACCCAGGGAUUUCUUAUAAGUGGACUAACCCAAAUGAAGGAAGGCACUGAGGUCUGUUAUGCAACGAGACAGACGACAGUUCGAUAAUACAAAAUACUUUUAUUUAUACAAAUUUCUGUUUUAAAAAUAAUGUAAAAAAUGACUCACUUAAGGGGAGCCAAUCAGUAAAAAAGUAAAAAACAAAGAAGCUACCAAGUGCAAACACAAUACAAAGGGGACACCGUGACCAGGACUUUGCCCCUGGAGAUGUUCGUCGGAGAUGAUUCUGCACCUCGCAACUCGUGGAUCACUGGGAGAGUUGUGCAAGCAGUUCCAGAUCAGAGAGGACUUGUGUGCCAGAUUUGUAUCAAAACAAGGACUGGGUUUUUGGAUAGACCCAUCACGAAGGUUUGUCUUCUUCAAGAGGCAGAAGAGCCAUGAAGACUUGCAGAUUUUGAAAGAACUGACGUACGUGGACUUUGACUAUUUUGUAGGUUGGAUUGAUUAUUUAGACUAUACAGUAGAUUUCCUGGUUGUUAGAAAUAUGAGAUGUUUUUCUUUUCUGACAUUUAGCAUUUUGUCUCCCACAUAUUAGCAGUUAUGUAAUUAUUGCUUCAGCAUAAUUAGGGGCUGGAAUGUAGGAGUCAUACAUUUUGUUUUGCUUUUGAAUAAAGUAAGACCUAAGUGUUGAGUUAAUGCUGGAAUUGGUGCACAUGGGUGAUGGAUGUGUCACUACCGCGAGUAUGUAGGAAUAAAUCACUGCUGUCCCCAGUUCACUGGUUGCUGGUUGUCAGUCAUGAUGUAGGGUGAGCACGGUGGAGCGGUGAAAUCUUUUGUUGUCCGCAUCAAUGCAUGUUUUGUUUGCUGUGUGUAUUAUUUCUCUCUUUGCUAACAAGCCACGAGUGUCGUGCAGAGUUUGGCGUGAUGAAUAAAGAGUGGUAGAGCCACAGAGACA